rnacentral:lncRNA from 1 species
CGUGCAUACUGGGGUCCUGUGGAAUCAUACCACUGGCUGGAAGCAGUGAUGUCUUCAUCCCGUAUCGUGCCCUCAUGCAUUCCCAGAGGGUAACGGCAUGUAGCAGGGUUGACUUCGGAGCCAGAUGGCUCAGGCAGGGAGGCCAGCAGCAGUAUGCAGAAGAUCAUGGUAGCAGUCAGAGACGCUGCGCAGGCUCAGAUGGGCACGAGUCCUUCACAGGCAGCAGCUGCGAUCUACAUUUCUGCCUCGCCCGGGGGCCGCCGAGCGCGGGGAACGACCGCAACGCGUCUUCCGUGCUCCACGGCCCGAGCCGGCCCGUCCCGCCGACAUUCC